rnacentral:ncRNA from 1 species
AUGCAGGAGAGACCGAGAUUUCUCGGCACCGAAGGCGCAAAUUCCGCCCGGAAUCGCUCAGGUAAAAGGACUGUAU